rnacentral:tRNA from 1 species
GCGCGGUUAGCUCAGUGGUAGAGCGUCUCGUUGACGUCGAGAAGGCCGAAGGAUCGUUCCCUUCACCGCGCA